UCUGAUUGCAGUGGGAGUCCUGUGGUACAGAUAACCCAGAGUGGAUGGACACAAGAAGGCUACAGCACCUUGGGUGUGGAACUCUGUGCUUGUCCAAAGCAGACUGAAGAUCUGCAGAACAGAUUCUGUAACAGGAGCUUCCACAGUCAGCACAGUUCUACACUGGUCUUCCAGCAGAUAGAGGAAAUCAGGAGGUGACAUUUUCAACAUCAUUUUAUCAUAAACACAUGUGUCACUCAAGAUACACCUAUCUAUGUAA
rnacentral:lncRNA from 1 species